UGGUCAAGUUAUUAAGGGUGCAGGGUGGAUGCCUUGGCACUAGGAGCCGAUGAAGGACGUGAUAAGCUGCGAUAAGCUUCGGGGAGUUGCACGUAAACUUUGAUCCGAAGAUUUCCGAAUGAGGAAACUCACUUAGAGUAAUGUCUAAGUAUCAUUAAGUGAAUACAUAGCUUAAUGAGGGGAACUCAGGGAACUGAAACAUCUAAGUACCUGAAGGAAGAGAAAGAAAUUCGAUUCCGUAAGUAGCGGCGAGCGAACGCGGAUUAGCCCAAACCAAUAAAGUUUUCUUUAUUGGGGUUGCGGACAUAUCAUAACGAAGAGGUAUCGUAAUUGAAGAGGUUUGGAAAGACCCACCACAGAAGGUAAUAGUCCUGUAUGUUAAACGAGAAGACUUCAGAUAUGAUCCAGAGUACCACGGGACACGUGAAACCCUGUGGGAAGCAGGAGGGACCACCCUCCAAGGCUAAA
rnacentral:rRNA from 1 species